rnacentral:lncRNA from 1 species
AGCCCAGGCCCCGCAGCCUACGUCGGGCGCAGACGCUCCCCCUGGCGGGGCGGGCGGGGGCUGCCAGGAGAAUCACCAGUACCCGCCUCCUCGCCCCGCAUCCUCGGGCCUGAGCGCCCGCCCACCGGCACGCGGAGGGGCUUCCUGGAACGAUUAGGCGGACCGUCGCCCCCAGGCUCCUUUCUCCCCUGGCGGAGUUUCUGCCCGCUGCGAUCUUCCCUAACUACCACUCUGCGGUCGCAGAAGACCAUCCAGAGGGGAGAUGAGGACUGGGAAGCCCGCUUGAGUGAUGCACAUCUGUGGCUUGUUACGAGAGCCGCGUGAAUUAAAGCAAGGCAGGGGACACCGCCCUGCCACUGCUUUCUAACCUUGAUUUUCAUCUUUCCUUCUCGGAUGGAAUCUAGAAGCCGCAGGAGUUUUCACUUGCGUCUGUGAUGGAGUUUCCCGCUCCCCGCCCCCCCGCACCAACCCGAGCUCUUUUUUCGCUUGGAGCCCGUAAGUUGCUAGAGGGCACCACGAUGGCUCUAGGAGCGCUGUCGGUGUUUUCUUCUGGAGGUGAUCCUGAAAUUUCCUCCCCAAAGCAAGCUCUGUUGCGAGGAGCAGGCUGGGGAUAUGUGCAAGUGAAUGUGUAUUCCAAGAGGGGGAUGAUACGCAGAUCUUUUGGUGUAUAGGAAUUAAUACUUUUAGAUUAUCAGUAAAAUGUAUACUUUCACUGGACUGAGAGAGAACAAGGCUUACGGUUACAUCAACCGGAUCAACAAAUAUUUAUUGUACUUGUAAUGAGUAAUACUUAGUCUAUUAUAUAAACAUAAAUGGAACCAUACCAUAGCAUAAAGUCUGUUUAUUUUUCAUAAAAUGUUUGAGUUUGUUACUCAAUUCCACUCCUCUGAUUAGUAGUCAAAAUCAAGUGUUCUGUUUUAAAAAGUUUAUAUUCUCUCAAUUUUGGAAUGUCAUAGCAUUGGGCCAGUGUCAAUGGCCCAAAAAAACAAAAUUUACCUUCAUGAAAAGAGUAUAAAAAAAGAAAAAAACUAAAAAUGUCAUUUUUAAUCCCACAAAAAUCAAUUACCCAACUCUCCUGAUUUUCUCCUCUCUGUUUCUGAAAUCAAAGUAACAUGCAUUAGGCACUGUUUUGUUCCGAGGAAGAUAUUGCAGGAGAAGCAAAAGUUUCUGCCUUUGAGCUUAGAAUUACACCAGAUAAGCAGGGAACAGUUCCAGCUAGCCUUAAUCAAGUUCCUACUGUAUUGAGGACUGCACAUUGUUUGAAGGGCAAAAAGUUAAGAAAUCUUUGAUUACUGAUGUAUUUGGGGGGCAGGUGGUGUAGUGGUUACUGUUUUAACUUUUGGUGUCUGGCUUUUUCACUUUUAUCUGUUUGACUUUUGAGUUUCUACACAAGGCAUCUCUGUAAAGCAGAAUUUUUGGAUUUUGGAUCUCUGUAAAACAGAAAUAGCUCUCUGGAUUCCCGUGUGGGGCAGGGAACCUUAAACUCCCUCCCCUCCCCAAAUAGCACCUUAAAUUACUUUAAGUUUUUAUUAUAUCUAGAAUUUAACCCAGGAAAGUUCUGCCAUUUCUUCUAACCUGAAAGAAAAAGAUCUGACAACAUCUCUUCCCAGGCCCAAGGGUGGGAGAGUGCCCAUAGGGGGAAAAAAAAAGGAAAAGAUAGCAAAGUACCUCAGCUGUGUACCACUCACUGAGCAUGCUGCAAGGAACAAACUGAAGCUGAGUUUUGCAAAUCCAUUUGCCAGUCUCUUCGUGAAACUAUGAAAACUCAAGAAAGUAACAUAACCUUUUUUUUUAGUAGAAACAUCAGUUUGUUUCUGCUUUGUGCUGUUGUAGAUUAUAAUUCUAUUUAAUAAAUAGUCAUUAAAUGGCAUUUACACUUAAAAGCAUUGUUGGGGAGAUAAAACCUAGAAUUAUAGAUCAAAAAAUUGGAUAGAAACUUAGACAUCAUCUUAUCCAGUUUCCCAUAGUCUCUGUUUAAAGCAGCUUUAAUUGCUCAGUGUUUUAAUUUUGGUUUUGUUUCUUUUCCAUUCAUGUUGAGUUAAAAACCGAAUCCAAUUCACUGUUUGUAAGACUACUGUCUUGCCCCCCGCCCGGCCGGCCGCCACGUCCGGGAGGUGAGGGGCGCCUCUGCCCGGCCGCC